rnacentral:rRNA from 2 species
AAUUGGUGGUGUAGGGGUAAAAUCCGUAGAUAUCACCAAGAAUACCCAUUGCGAAGGCGAUCUGCUGGAACUCAACUGACGCUAAGGCGCGAAAGCGUGGGGAGCAAACAGGAUUAGAUACCCUGGUAGUCCACGCCCUAAACGAUGUACACUAGUUGUUGGGGUGCUAGUCAUCUCAGUAAUGCAGCUAACGCAUUAAGUGUACCGCCUGGGGAGUACGGUCGCAAGAUUAAAACUCAAAGGAAUAGACGGGGACCCGCACAAGCGGUGGAGCAUGUGGUUUAAUUCGAAGAUACGCGAAGAACCUUACCUGGGCUUGAUAUCCUAAGAACCUUUUAGAGAUAAGAGGGUGCUAGCUUGCUAGAACUUAGAGACAGGUGCUGCACGGCUGUCGUCAGCUCGUGUCGUGAGAUGUUGGGUUAAGUCCCGCAACGAGCGCAACCCACGUAUUUAGUUGCUAACGGUUCGGCCGAGCACUCUAAAUAGACUGCCUUCGUAAGGAGGAGGAAGGUGUGGACGACGUCAAGUCAUCAUGGCCCUUAUGCCCAGGGCGACACACGUGCUACAAUGGCAUAUACAAUGAGACGCAAUACCGCGAGGUGGAGCAAAUCUAUAAAAUAUGUCCCAGUUCGGAUUGUUCUCUGCAACUCGAGAGCAUGAAGCCGGAAUCGCUAGUAAUCGUAGAUCAGCCAUGCUACGGUGAAUACGUUCCCGGGUCUUGUACUCACCGCCCGUCACACCAUGGGAGUUGAUUUCACUCGAAGCCGGAAUACUAAACUAGUUACCGUCCACAGUGGAAUCAGCGACUGGGGUGAAGUCGUAACAAGGUAACCGUAGGAGAACCUGCGGUUGGAUCACCUCCUUU